CAAAACACGCUCUCAAUCCCCUCAUCGGGAAUCGGGAUGCGGCAUCUGGUCCCUCGUCUCGCAAGGGGCGGUGGACCGAAAAUCGGGCUGCCGGCGUACCGCGCCGGACACAGCGCAUGGUGGACGUCCUCGCUUUAUCAACGCAGUGCAUCCGACGCGUAGCCGGCAUGAUGGCCUCAAAACGACCCAGCAAACGAAGCGCACGUCGCUUCGA
rnacentral:misc_RNA from 1 species